GGCCGGCGCGCAGGGGAGCCCCUCGGGCCCGGAGGGCGGCCCGCCGAGGUGCGGCUGCGGCCGCGGAGAGGCGGCGUGUGCGUGCGACAGCCGGCUUGGUGCGCCGCGCGCCGCCGUGGGAGGAGCCGCCGCCGAAGCGCCGGCCCGGUUCCUGCGCGCGGGGCCACGGCGGCCUCGGUUUUGCGCCUCGCAGGUGGCGCGGCAAGCGGCCCUGCGGCGCCCCGGCGGCCGGGAGCCCGCUGCUUCCGGGGCGGGCCGGACCGCUUCCCUGCGACGGAGCCGCUCCCGUGGCUGCCGCGUGCGGCCACCGACGCCGGUCUCCUCUGUCCGCGUCGGUCGUCUGUGUUCACGGAGUGCCUCCAUGGCGAAGUUCCCUGGCUGAGGGGCGGGCGGGGCGCCCCCCCUCCCGGAGCGCAGGUGGAGCCCGGCAUGGCGGCGGCCUGCGCGCCCGGCCCGGCGUCAGAGGCGCACGGGGACGUCAUCCAAGUGACGGUUAAGGAAGAAGACCAUGUUUGGGAUCAGGAAUCCUGCCUGCAGAAGACUUUGUGUCACACCAGGGAACUCUGUCGCCAGCGCUUCAGGCGCUUCUGCUACCAGGAGACCCCCGGGCCCCGCGAGGCGCUGCGCCGGCUCCGCGAGCUGUGCCGCCAGUGGCUGCGGCCCGAGACGCACAGCAAGGAGCAGAUCCUGGAGCUGCUGGUGCUGGAGCAGUUCCUGACCAUCCUGCCCGAGGAGCUCCAGGCCUGGGUGCGGGAGCACCACCCGGACAGCGGGGACGAGGUGGUGACGGUGCUGGAGGAUCUGGAGAGGGAGCUGGACGAACCUAGACAGCAGGUCCCACAGGGCAGAGAUGGGCCGGAAAUUCCUAUGGAGGGAAGGAGUCCCCUGGAAGCAGCAGAGGAGUGCUUGGGUGCCCAGCUCCUGUCUGUGGAAGGUAGAAUGGAAUGUGACUCUCCAGAGCCACGCCCACUGCAAGACAAUGGGUCAUUUUUGUGGCUUUCCAUGAUGUCUCACAGUGUGGGUGAUGAUAACCCCAGUAGCUUAGACACUAAUGAACCCGAAAUUGAACCAGAAAACAUGAGAGAGAAGUUCUUCAGGAGCUUAGCAGUGUUGCUGGAAAACAAAAGUAAUAAUACCAAGAUAUUUUCCAAAGCAAAGUACUGUCAGUUAAUUCAGGAAGUUAAAGAGGCUAAAGCAAAGGCAAGAAAGGAAUCUGUUGACUACCGUCGCUUAGCGAGGUUUGAUGUGAUCCUUGUGCAAGGAAAUGAGAAGCUUAUUGAGGCUCUAAAUGGGGAAACAGAUAAAGUUCGGUAUUACUUACAUAGCGAGGAGCUAUUUGACAUUCUGCACCACACACAUCUCAGCAUUGGGCACGGUGGACGUACUCGCAUGGAAAAGGAGCUACAAGCAAAAUACAAGAACAUCACAAAAGAAGUUAUAAUGCUGUACUUGACACUCUGCAGACCUUGCCAACAGAAACAUUCGAAACUCAAGAAAGUUCUAACAUCCAACCCAAUUAAGGAAGUUAAUUCAAGAUGCCAGGUGGAUCUUAUAGACAUGCAAUUAAAUCCUGAUGGGGAGUAUAAGUUUAUUAUGCAUUAUCAAGACCUUCGUACAAAGUUGAGUUUUUUGCGGUCACUAAAAUCUAAAAGGCCUAAGGAAGUGGCACAUGCUCUUUUAGAUAUUUUUACAAUUAUCGGAGCACCCAGUGUCCUACAAUCUGACAGUGGGAGGGAAUUUUCAAGCCAGAUUGUCAAUGAACUCAGUAAUAUUUGGCCAGAGUUGAAAAUUGUCCACGGGAAGCCUCAGCCCUGUCAAAGCUACAGUUCUAUGAACCAAGCUAAUGAGGAUAUCCAAAAUAGGAUUAUCUCCUGGAUGCAAGCUAACAAUUCAUCACACUGGUCCGAGUUUUUGUGGUUCAUUCAGAUGAUCCAAAAUCAGCCCUAUCACAGAAGCAUGCAACUGAAUCCAUUUGAAGGCACCUUCAGCUCUGAAGCUAAACCAGGCCUCUGUCACCCUCAGUUAACCGAGGAACUCAUUGCCAGCCCGAAUCCAGAAAAUGAAUUUGAACCAGGCGACAAAGAAUUAGAGAAUCCACUGGGGACACAGUAUGAAGAAAGCAUUGAGACUGGAACCGAUAGUAGUGAUAUUGAAGAGAUUUCUAUUACUCCUGUGGUGGCUGUGAAAAACCCACCUGAAAGCAGAUUAAAAUUUUUAUCCUGUGUAGUUUGUGGAAAAGAAUGCUCAGAAGCUAAUAGUUGCAUAUCAUGUGCUGGAAGUGUCCAUGCAGGCGGUGGGGUGCCCUCCCCACAUGAGACCGCAGGCUGCCAUCACGGAAUAACGUGCAAUCUUUGCCACGAGGCCACCACAAUGAAAAGGAAACAUGAUGAGACCCAAAGAAAUUUGACUGGUCAACCUUCCAAAAUGCUAAAGCUGUCAGAGACCCCAUUUUCAUCAGACAAAGUAGGGGAUUGGAUGGCGAAACAAGCUUCACUGGACUUGUUUGUCAAGAAAAAACAUAGCCUUUCUGAACCCGGCGGCAGGAGUAGAAGAAACGGUAAAGAUGGACGUCAGGAGGUGAAAGGGAGAAGAGUUCACACGGGUUUCACUCGGAAAUAUGACCCCUCGUACAUCGAGUUUGGGUUUAUAGCUGUAAUCGAUGGUGAAGUGCUGAAGCCACAGUGUAUCAUUUGUGGAGAUAUACUGGCUAAUGAAGCAAUGAAACCAUCAAAACUUAAGCGGCAUUUAUAUGCAAAACAUAAAGAAAUGAGUUCACAACCGAAAGAAUUCUUUGAGAGGAAGAGUAGUGAACUAAAGAGCCCGCCGAAGCAGGUGCUCAGUGUUUCUCACAUAAACAUCAGUGCCCUGCGGGCUUCCUACAAGGUAGCGCUGCCGGUGGCCAAGUCCAAGACGCCCUACACGAUUGCGGAGACGCUGGUGAAAGACUGCAUCAAGGAGGUCUGCCUGGAGAUGCUGGGGGAGUCGGCCGCCAAGAAGGUGGCCCAGGUGCCCCUGUCCAAUGACACCAUCGCCCGGCGCAUUCAGGAGCUGGCCAGUGACAUGGAGGACCAGCUCGUAGAGCAAGUGAAAGAAGCCAAGUACUUCUCCCUACAGCUGGACGAGUGCAGAGAGAGCGCCGGCGCGAUGGUACUCCUGGUGUACGUGCGGUUUGAACACGGUGACGACAUAAAGGAAGAAUUCUUCUUUUCGGCCUCUUUACCAGCAAACACAACUAGCUCAGAGCUGUGUGAAGCUGUGAAGAAUUACGUCGUCAACAAGUGUGGUCUGGAAUUUCAGUUUUGUGUGGGCGUGUGUUCUGACGGGGCAGCCUCGAUGACAGGGAGACGUUCGGAGGUCGUGGCCCAGAUUAAGGAACUUGCGCCCGAGUGUAAAAUAACACAUUGCUUCAUUCAUCGAGAAGGUCUGGCCAUGAAAAAGAUAUCAGCUGAACUAAAUAGCGUGCUUACUGACACCGUAAAAAUUGUGAAUUAUGUGAAAUCUAAUGCGUUAAAUUCGAGAUUGUUCUCUCUGUUGUGUGACAAUAUGGAAGCGGAUCACAAGCAGCUGUUACUGCAUGCAGAGACGCGGUGGUUGUCACGGGGGAAAGUUCUGUCGAGAAUGUUCGAAAUACGAAAUGAACUCUUGGUGUUUCUGCAAAGCAAGAAACCAGUUUGGUCCCAGCUUUUCAAAGACGUGAAUUGGACAGCCAGACUAGCUUAUUUAUCUGAUAUCUUCAGUAUUUUUAAUGAUCUUAACGUUUCCAUGCAAGGGAAGAACGCAACCUGUUUUUCAAUGGCUGAUAAGAUUGAAGGACAAAAACAAAAGUUAGAAGCCUGGAGAAACAGAGUUUCUGCGAAUUGUUAUGACAUGUUCCAUAAUUUAACAACAGUUAUCCAUGAAGUAGGUAAUGACCUUGAUAUUGCCCAUCUGCAAAAAGUUAUCAGUGAACAUCUUACUAAUUUGUUGGAUUGUUUUGAAUUGUAUUUUCCAUUAAAAGAAGAUCCACGCAUAGGGAACUCAUGGAUCCAAAAUCCAUUCCUCUCAUCAAAAGAUAACUUAAAUUUAACGGUCACCCUGCAGGAUAACUUGUUGAAGCUGGCCGCGGAUGAAGGACUGAAAAUGAAUUUUGAAAAUACAGCAUCACUUCCUUCAUUUUGGAUAAAAGUUAAAAAUGAGUAUCCUGAGCUUGCUGAGGUUGCUUUAAAAUCCCUACUUCUGUUCCCCUCAACGUCCUUGUGCGAGACCGGGUUCUCUACUUUAAGUGUUAUUAAAACGAAGCACAGAAACAGUUUGAAUAUACAUUAUCCCCUGAGAGUAGCGUUGUCAUCCAUCCAGCCCAGGUUAGACAAACUAACAAGCAAGAAGCAAGCUCACUUAUCACAUUAAAGACUUGAAGGUAUUCGGUCAAAGUGUGCACAUACACAUUACAGAAUAUGAAAGUUAUGAUUAAAAUAGCAAUUCUCUAUAUAAAUUGCCUAUAUGUACACUUUCAGUUACAUGUACAGUUUUUAUAAUUCUUUUAUCUUGUUCUAUUUAUUAAAAUGUAAUUUUAAAUCUGUUGCUUCUAAUAUUAAAAAGAUUUUCAUUUUGUAUGCCUUUGUUAUUGUUGUAUUUCAUUAGGAUAUGAAGAUUUUAGGACGAAUUUAGGAUGGCAGUGAUUUCUCUGAAACGACAGAUUAGACCAAUGAAGGGAAGUGAAUUCGAGUCUGGAAUUGGAAUCUGGGUGGUCAGGUGGGAAGCUGAUGUUAAGUUUCCUUUGUUGCUGCAUGUUUACACGCCGUGUUUAUGUGGCUGAGCCCAGGGAAACACCAUGUGAUGGUGUCAUGACUUUGGAUUCAUAUUGAUAAAUUCUGACCUCAUAGCGGUGGGGGAUUGGGCCAUAGUGAUGAGUUUAGGUCAGGCACAGAGUUUUGGAUUUUGCUUGAGCUGAUUGCUGUUAAAAUUCUGUGGGACAGAGCCAGGUAUGACGAGCUCUUCAGGUAGAUUUAAUAACCUCUCCUGUAUGGAGAUAAUUCUGAAAAAUGGCACACAUAUCUGCCCUCACUCAGAAUUACUGAAAACAGACUAUUAGCACAAGGCAGUUUCUUUAGGGUAAAAACAUGCCAAGAUCCUUGAAGAAAACGAGUCUUUUCCUAGACAGAGAAACAACAUAACAGAGGGAAAUUUUUUCAAACUACCGUUUUCCCAUCUGAAAGGUUUCUCCUAGUUAACUUGGGGAGCCAAGAGUGAACUCCCAGUGAACAGAGUAUGAGGGCUUGUGGGGUGCUGUCGGCCAGAGAGGAGGCCAGACAUGAGGAGGCCGCACAACAGAAGCCGGUUCACAAAGACAAACCCAGAUGUGUGGAAAUCACACAUGCUUCUUGCAAAAGGGUUUGCAGUAAAGUUCAGCAUGCCUGUGGUGGCCCAGCAAGUCCACUCCUAAGUACGUAUCUGUCCUGCUGUCAUUCAGCUCAAAGGAACAGAAGUGGCCAUUCCUGGGACACUCUGCGUGUCCCCAGCCUCAAACAGAAUGGUUUGCAUUUUUUGCCUUCAAGUAUCGUUUUCUUGUAUUAUUCUUGUAUUUUAAAAAUCGGGUUAAAUAAAUUUCCUUCUAUAUCCAGAUUGUUGUGUUAGGGGUGGACAAUGAAAUUUAUUACAUGCUUUUUCUGUUUGUACUGUUGUACUGUUAAGUGAACAUAAUGCUUUUCUUUUAAUUUCUUGAUGUGCUGAAUCAUAAAAACUUUUGUAAUGCUAAAUUGACGUUCUAUUUUUGGUAUAAACCCAAGCUCCUCACAAUUUUAAAACA